rnacentral:lncRNA from 1 species
UUUCAUUAUUCUUUUUUUGAUCUUCUCUAUUUGAUGUUUUGAAUGCUUCUAUAUUGGAAUGUCCAUCUCAUUCUCAAGACUUGGAAAUUUUUCUAUUAUUAUUUCCCUGAAGAGGUUAUCCAUUUCUUUAACCAGCAUCUCACAACCUUCUUCAAUUCUAAUGAUUCUUAAAUUUGCCACCAGAGUUCUUGUAUAUUCUGGUCAUAAUCACUUCUUUUCUUUAACCUUGUCUGAAUGUUCAAGUCUGGCUACUUUGUAUUUCAGUUUUGAGAUUCUGUCUUCAGCAUAGUCUAUUCUAAACUGAACAUUUUAUUUGAUUUAUUGUGCCUCUUAUAUCCAAGGCUUCUGUUUCUUUUUUUUUUUCUUGAUCUCUCUAUUUCCUUAUUGAAAUUCUCCUUCAUAUUCUGUACUGACUUCCUUAAUCCAUUUGGUUGUUUUUAUGUGUUCUCUUGGAAUUCAUUGAUUAUUUUUACAAUGAUUCUUUUGAAUCCUUAAUCUGAUACUUCAUCUACUUCAAUGUCUUUGGAGUCAGUUGCUGGUGAGUUAUGAACUUUAGGGGAUGUUGUUUUACUUUUUUUCAUAUUUCUUAUAUUCCUCUGCUGAGUUUUAGACAUCUAUUGGGAUGGAUUUCUUUUUCAUUCUUAUGUGUGUGCCUUUAUAGAGCACAGCCUUCUCUUACCAAAAUAUCCUAGAGUGAUCUAGAGUGAGCCCCUUGUUGGUGUGGUAACCAUAGCUUUUCUGUUAAUUCUAGUUUUGCUGUAGGAGUGAAUGUCCAUUCAUGGGACUUGAGGGUCCACCCCUAGCUGUUCCUACUUGGGGUCUGGUUGUUAGUUUAGGUCUUUUUCUCUUCUCUUCUUUGUAUUAAAGUAUAGAUGAAGUUGAAGUGUGGUUAAUCUGUGUGGAGCACGGGUCACUGUCUUUUGGCUGCAUUUAGUUCAGCAGCAGAGUCUCUACCUUGCAAACUUACAGUGUCUCUGAGGAUUCUAAGCACCUCACAGAAAAGAGGGAAACAAUGGCAUCAACCAAUGCAAAGAAGGUACAGCAUUAAAAUCAAUACCUAUUGUCUCCUAUGAGAUCUACAACACUAAAUGCCACAAAACAGGAAUGGUGGGGUCAGCAAUUGUGAAAAGCGAAACCAAUAAAUAACUGCGAAGUAGACCUGGCAUUAAAGUAAACAUCAGGUGUCAGUUAUCAUCCAUAGCACUAAAAAUUGCAAAAACAAAUGGUGCAGGCAGGAGGUA